GGCGGGGUCCCACAUAACAUAGAGGAAGAUUGGCGCAGAUGUUAGCUCAGUGAUGGUCUCCCUCAUACACACAGACAAAAUUGUUCUCAUUGUUUGUUUUGCCCAGUGCUUGCAUCCUGUAGAUAAAAAUUUGUUCUGUGGUUUUUUUUUCUCUGAACGCAUCAUAAUCAUUUUUGCAUGUUAUUAUGAGCAUUUUUUGUUACUGUGAGGGACACAUGGAUGCGUCGCCCUUUCUGGGGAAAGAGCUUGUUGUCCCAGCUGCUGCCCUUGGCCGCCCCCUUCAGGGAUUGCCUCUGCUGCAGGGAGCCACCUGGACAGGUUCAGCUCUGCCCAGCACAGCGCACGUCCAGGGGCUGGCCGAGGCAGGGACGAUGGCCCGGCCAUUUCCGCCCAAUGGGGGAGAGCUCUGGUGGGCCCUUGGGCUCUGGAGGUCCCCAGGGGUCGGCUGCAGUUGCACUCCUGCCUCUGCCCAGUCCUGCUUCCCGCUCUGGCCUUCCACAGCUGUUCUCCCAGGGCACUUCCUGCACGUGAAACCCCCUCUCACCCUCUUCCUCCCAGAGAACAUGUCCUGGGAGUGCCCUGGGAUGUUGUGCGUGCCCGUGACUGUUACUUUUCAUUUUUUUAUUUUUCAGAAGCUGUUUAUUUUCCAUCUCCCUGAUUUCCGUUUUCUGUUCAAGAGUCUGUGGAAGAGCAACUCAAGAGCAGUCAGUGGUUCUUCCUACCCAUUCAGCGGCCUGUGCAGUGGGAGCUGCGGCCCAGUCUUCGGUGGCAGGCUGAGGGCUCCAUCCUCAGUAGGAAAUGGCUGGACGGGCACAGAGGGGACCAGCAUGCCUUCAGACAGCGUGGGGCCUCGGGGGAUGGUGGUGUCCACAUAGCAGAGGAGAGUGUGUCACACAGAGCAGUGGCGGGCAGGUUAACACAAGAGGCCUCUGUGAGAGGCUGGCGGUCAGCCCUGGGGUCAGUUGCCACCAGAAGUCACGGCUCCUGGAAGGCCGCCUGGAUCUGGUUAGUGAAGGUUCCAGCAGAGAAGCAGCUGGCAGUGGGAGAGGCUCCAGCGGCAGCAGCAAACUUGAGCACAGCUCACCGGUCAGCAUUCCUGGAGGAUGUGACACUGGCAUCGGCCGGGUUUUCAGUGGCGACAAUGGCACGGGCUGCCUGUGGAAGCUUUUCCCAGGUUCUCUUCAGCUUUACGAUGUAGAUGCCAUCACUUUGCCUUUUGUAGAUGUGCUGUUCCAUUUGGAAGUCAAGGCGGCUGCCACCUGAGUGGGCUCCUCCUGUGCGGAAGGGGAGGACAUCCUCCUCCGCCGUUUGUGGGACACCCAGGGCUCUGGACACUGUGAGUUUCCCUUCAAGUUAUGGUGGGAACCCAGACCAACACUGUAUGGACCCCCCCUGGCUAGUGUGGAAAGCACUUUUAAUUUUUUGAAUGCAGUGCUAUGUGUACAUGUUUAAAAAAAUUACAACAGUGCAAAAGGAUAUUUAGUGCAAAGGUAAGUCUCCGUCUCAUCCUGAGCCCUACUCCCCAGUUGUUCUCCUCAGAGGCAAAUACUGUGAUCCCUCUUGAGUCCAUCUCUUUGCAGGGCUGGGCUGUGCAAAUACCCACCUGGAUACUGUGACGGUUAAUUCUACGUGUGCACUUGACUGGAUCACUGGAUGCCCAGGCAUCUGGACUCGGCCUGGAGUCCACACCACCGGCUCUCUGGCUUUCUUGGGCCUCCAGCUUGCCAACUGCAGAUCAUAGGACUUCUCAGCCUCCACAAUUGCAUGAGCC